UACGUAGGGGGCGAGCGUUGUUCGGAAUUAUUGGGCGUAAAGGGCGUGUAGGCGGUGCGGUAAGUCGGACGUGAAAUCUCCGGGCUUAACCCGGAGGGGUCGUUCGAAACUGCCGUGCUCGAGUGUGGGAGAGGGAAGCGGAAUUCCCGGUGUAGCGGUGAAAUGCGUAGAUAUCGUAAGGAAGACCAGUGGCGAAGGCGGGUCUCUGGACAGUUACUGACGCUCAGGCACGAAAGCGUGGGGAGCAAAAGGG
rnacentral:rRNA from 1 species